rnacentral:lncRNA from 1 species
AUGGUCAUACUGGACCACCUGGGAAAAAUGGACAGGAUGGAUAUGCGGGUCCUCCUGGGCCAACAGGGCCUGCAGGACCACCUGGUGCUGAUGGAGCCAAGGGGCUCAAAGGAGACAGAGGUCCUUCAGGAGCACCUGGAGAUAAAGGUGAAAAGGGCCCCCCAGGGCCUCCUGGUUAUCCAGGGGCCGCAGGAAAUAUGGGUCAGCCUGGUAAUGAUGGAAACCCUGGCCCUAUCGGACCACCUGGAGCUCCUGGAGAAAAGGCAAGGCUAAAGUUUUUUUGUUCUGUCAUUUGAAUGUGUAUUAGUUAGAUGGAUUGCAAGACUGGAAUCCGGCCACGUUAUUAAUAACUGAAUGUGUUUUACCAGGGUAAAGAUGGACUUCAGGGUAUUCAGGGACCACCUGGUCUUCCAGGUCUAAUGGUGUGUAAUUUAAUAAUUUUGUAAAAAUGUCUGUACAUUUUUUUAGUACAAAUACACUACGGUUCAAAAGUUUAAGGUUGGUAAGAUUAUAAAAUGCUUUCGUAAGAAGUUUCUUAUGCUCACCAAGGUUGCAUUUAUUUGAUCAAAAACACAGUAAAAAAUAAAUAUUGACAUAUUAUUACAAUUCAAAAUAAGUGUUUUACAGUGUAUUUUUCAGCAGCCAUGGCUCCAGUCUUUAGUUUCACAUGAUCCUUCAGAAAUCAUUCUAAUAUGCUGAUUUAGUGCUCAAGGAACAUUCCGUAUUCAUAUUCUUAUCAAUGUUUAAUAAUUUUGUGAAAUCCAUGAUUUUAAUUCAGGAUUGUUUGAUGAAUACAACAACAGCAUUUGUUUGAAAUAAAAAA